rnacentral:rRNA from 1 species
CAGCCGCCGCGGGAACACGUAGGGUGCAAGCGUUAAUCGGAAUUACUGGGCGUAAAGCGUGCGCAGGCGGUUAUAUAAGACAGAUGUGAAAUCCCCGGGCUCAACCUGGGAACUGCAUUUGUGACUGUAUAGCUAGAGUACGGCAGAGGGGGAUGGAAUUCCGCGUGUAGCAGUGAAAUGCGUAGAUAUGCGGAGGAACACCGAUGCGAAGGCAAUCCCCUGGGCCUGUACUGACGCUCAUGCACGAAAGCGUGGGGAGCAAACAGGAUUAGAUACCCCGGUAGUCCCUGUCUCUUAUACA